rnacentral:rRNA from 1 species
GACGUAGGGCGCGAGCGUUGUCCGGAUUUAUUGGGCGUAAAGAGCUCGUAGGCGGCUUGUCGCGUCGACUGUGAAAACCCGCGGCUCAACUGCGGGCCUGCAGCCGAUACGGGCAGGCUAGAGUUCGGUAGGGGAGACUGGAAUUCCUGGUGUAGCGGUGAAAUGCGCAGAUAUCAGGAGGAACACCGGUGGCGAAGGCGGAUCUCUGGGCCUUACCUGACGCUCAGGCGCGAAAGCUAGGGGAGCGAACUGG